rnacentral:lncRNA from 1 species
CACGCCUUUAAUCCCAGCACCCAGAGGCAGGCGGGUCUCUGAGUUCCAGUCCAGCCUGGUCUACAAAGUGAGUUCCAUGACAGCCAGGGCUAUAGAGAGAAACCCUGUCUCAAAAAAAAAAGAAAGAGAGAGAGACCCAGAGGGACAAAACAUGAUCAGGGUUUUAUUCAACAGCAGCUUGGAGCUGACGCCUCCACCUCAGAGAACAGGCAUUUGGUCUCCUGCACCUCUGUGACCUUGUAGGCUCUACUGGAGAAAAGUGCACUUUUUAUAUGUACUUGUACACGACCUUGGAGGGCACAGUUUGCAGGUGGAGUCGCACAGGACACUUGUAAAAGUGUGACAACAGAGUCUCACUGUAGCCCACGAGGAAGUAGAAUUUGUGUGCUGGCAGCUGCCUGAGGACCAGGGCACAGAUGUCCACUUGGUUGGCCCGGCGCUUCAGAACAAUCUGGUCAGCCAGGCAGCCGGGAAAGGUGCCCAUCAUAAACUUUCGAAGGAAAACAUCCUCCAGGGUUCUCUCUGCAGCAUGAUCUUCUCCAUCCAGGUUACCUAAAGAGGACAACACACAAGCAAUCGUCAGCCAAGGGAGCUGUGCAGACCCCAGACCUGACAUGGAACAGGCCUGGGCACGCUAACGGAAUAGGAAAACAUUCUAAAAUCCAAAGCGCAGGGAUGGCAAGACGGCUUAGCAGGCACUGCUAAUGUAUAAGGCUGACUCAUUAAUAUGAGUUAUAACUCAGGCCCAAGGAAAGAUUAACAA